rnacentral:rRNA from 1 species
ACAGGCUUCGGUUCUUGGUUUAGUGGCGCACGGGUGCGUAACGCGUAUGCAACCUACCUCUCACUGGGGGAUAGCCCGGGGAAACCCGGAUUAAUACCGCAUAAGAUAGCUGGCCUGGCAUCAGGUUGUUAUUAAAGCUUUGGCGGUGGGAGAUGGGCAUGCGUGCCAUUAGCUGGUUGGUAGUGUAACGGACUACCAAGGCUUCGAUGGCUAGGGGCUCUGAGAGGACGGUCCCCCACACUGGUACUGAGACACGGACCAGACUCCUACGGGAGGCAGCAGUAGGGAAUAUUGGGCAAUGGCCGCGAGGCUGACCCAGCCAUGCCGCGUGCAGGAUGAAGGCCUUCUGGGUUGUAAACUGCUUUUAUCAGGGAAGAAAACGCUCCUGCGGGAGUAACUGACGGUACCUGAUGAAUAAGCACCGGCUAACUCCGUGCCAGCAGCCGCGGUAAUACGGAGGGUGCAAGCGUUGUCCGGAUUUAUUGGGUUUAAAGGGUGCGUAGGCGGCCCGUUAAGUCAGCGGUGAAAUCCCAGGGCUCAACCCUGGAACUGCCGUUGAUACUGGCGGGCUUGAGUUUGGUCGAGGCGGGCGGAACUGGUGGUGUAGCGGUGAAAUGCAUAGAUACCACCAAGAACCCCGAUUGCGUAGGCAGCUCGCUAGGCCAAAACUGACGCUGAGGCACGAAAGCGUGGGGAGCGAACAGGAUUAGAUACCCUGGUAGUCCACGCCGUAAACGAUGAGUACUCGAUGUCGGCGACACACGGCCGGCGUCCAAGCGAAAGCGUUAAGUACUCCACCUGGGGAGUACG